CCUACGGGAGGCAGCAGUGGGGAAUAUUGGGCAAUGGGCGCAAGCCUGACCCAGCAACGCCGCGUGAAGGAAGAAGGCUUUCGGGUUGUAAACUUCUUUUGUCAGGGACGAAGCAAGUGACGGUACCUGACGAAUAAGCCACGGCUAACUACGUGCCAGCAGCCGCGGUAAUACGUAGGUGGCAAGCGUUAUCCGGAUUUAUUGGGUGUAAAGGGCGUGUAGGCGGGAAUGCAAGUCAGAUGUGAAAACUAUGGGCUCAACCCAUAGCCUGCAUUUGAAACUGUAGUUCUUGAGUGCUGGAGAGGCAGACGGAAUUCCUGGUGUAGCGGUGAAAUGCGUAGAUAUACGGAGGAACACCAGUGGCGAAGGCGGAUUGCUGGACAGCAACUGACGCUGAGGCGCGAAAGCGUGGGGAGCAAACAGGAUUAGAUACCCGAGUAGUC
rnacentral:rRNA from 1 species